rnacentral:lncRNA from 1 species
GGGGAUUAUAUUAGAAACCUGAGACACAAUUUGCACUUCAGCUAUUCUUUCUUCUUCUUUUAUAACAAAACAAGUAAUAGGAAGCCUUGUCCAAUAGUGUGGGUGGGAAUUAGAAGCUAGAAAGCUUUGUUUGGUGUGGGACAGCUUGAAUUUGCAGCCCAAACAGCUUGUCACAACACAUAACUACCAUAGGACCACUUCUAGUCACUAUAUUAUUUUUGUACAAUAUUAACCCCCUAAGCUUUUCGUAUUUUGUUUUUUGUUGUGCAAUCGUGACUACAAGCGUAUCCCGGUUUAGUUUAGGGAACUGAACAUACAUCUGAUAGAUUCGAGUAUCUUAUAUAAAAAAGAGUUUUAGUCUCGAUAACCAUGCUAGUAAUUACUGUAGUCAAGGCAAUAUAAACACAAGCUUGUUUUUGUUUCAAUUUCCCGAUAUUUCUGCGCUUAAGAUCUCUGUUAACUCUUGUCUUUUAUAUUGUGCAGUUCCAUGUAUGAAAUUGAAUUUGGUAAUUUAUGUCUUGUCUAAAAGUUUAAUUUAAUGCAAACCGAUUGCAAUGCUGGUAGUAAUUUAUACCUUCUCAUGUUUCCUGUGUAGACAUCAUUUAAGUAUGUGGGAUUUUCCUGUCAAAAUUUGCUUUAUACCACCUACAAAAACUAUAUACUAAUUUCUGAAAGGUCUAAAUUGUUUCACAACAAUGUAGAAUGCAGAUAUUAAUGUCAUAAUCAUGUAUUUGGGUCAUUAAAGUAGGUGUGGCCUAAAAUUUUUGGCACAUUAAAUAUUUUAUAUCUACCUUAUUUAUUAAUUUAGCUUACAAUAGCUAUAUGCUGUAUAUCUACCCACACGAAGGUUCUUUGUUACAAACAAAGUUGUAUUACUAACUUGUAUUAGUGUUAAGUCAUUUUCUAAACCAUCUACUGAUACAUGCAAAUUAAUAUCGCUGUUUUACAGUUACUGAAAAUGAUUAGAAACAAGACAGCGCCCAUUAAGGUUAGGUGUAUCUGCUGGGAAGCACAUUCUCCAACAACUUCUACUUUCCUUACUUUCAGAGGGGUUUUACAGGUAAGCACUCGGUCCCUUUUUGAAUCAAAGUUUGCUUUCUCUAAGCAGUUGUCAAUGGUUUGAAGGAGCUGCAGUUAAUGACCUGUACAUUAAUGAAUUUAUUGUAUCAAAAGCGAAAGAAGAUAUAACCUUCGGGGUAUCAUUUGCAGAAUAACAAACUAGACUACAGUUCGCUGCUCUUGUUUUCCAUUACACAAGAAACAUUUGAGUACGAGCAAACAAAGAUCAGUGUGGUACUACUGGGUUUUCUUUUGGUAGGGGCAUGAGAUGACAAUCCAUAUGGGAGGAAGGAAAAGGAUGAUUAUUCUAUAGGAUACAGAACAUAUAUACCACAUAUAUUAAUGAGGUCUAUCAUUUGCUUAAGAUUGAAGUUUUUUUUCUGGUGUCCGGUUCAGUUGCUAGCCACAGAACAUGAAAUAAUUUGUCACAAUUAGGAAUGUCGCUUGCUACAUCAAUGUCAGAAAAAGUUUGCUUACAGGAAGGAGACGAUACUGAACUAUAAAAAUUGCGAAGUGUAACCCUGAAUCAUCUAAAAAGAUGUUGGAAAUCUGUUGGUAACUCAAAAUAGUUUCCAAAAGAUAUAUAUAAUUCAUUAUUAGCUUGAAAUUUGUUCAAGAAUUUUCAGUUCUGCACAAAACAGUGCUAUUUGCUUUGUCGAGACAUGACUUCCUACAUAGCAUCUCUAGCCAGCUGGUGACACUAAAUUUAACAAGACUCGAGUGAUCCAAAUUAACUUUGAACGUCCUGCAUGCUGAAAAUAACUUAGCCUCUACUCUUACAUUGACAGAUACAAAUUGCCACGUUUGAUACUUCAGCUUUGUAUCCUGUAGGUGAUAGUGAUCUAGCUUUGGAUUCACACUUUAGUUUUGAUGUUUUCUUCAGAUGAAUCCAAUGUAAAAAGCCGUAAAAUGUGAGAUGAAUUUACAGCACUACUUACUUAAGAGAAUUACAGAGUCCUUUUAUGGUUCAUGCAUGCCCUUUCACAUUUAUUACUUGACUCUGCUGUAAAGUUAAUGAGCCAACUAUAGUAUAACAGGUAAAUUAUUUCCACUAGUACUCAACUUAGUGGAACAAAUUAACUAUUGUUUCCUUGUUUUAUCUGGUUUUGCUUGGCAGCUUGGUCCCUUUGUGGGAUAGAGAGAAAGAAAGAGAUAAAAGAGAUGGGCAUUAUUUAUAAAAUUUGUGGAGUAGACAUCCAUGUUCUCUUCAAAAGGAUUGCGAAAAUCUAGAAGAGCCUAUAAGAAACAAUGACAAGUAUUUUCUACUCUACAACAAUGUAUGGUCCAGGUAGGAGAAAAGGUAAUGGGUUUUAAAUAAUUGUAUUUGCACUUUUUAGUGUUGUACUAUAUCAAGAUCUUCAUCACAAAUUUCCCUAAUCUAGUUAGGUGAACCCAUUUAAUCAAGAAAUAUAUAUGCAUAAUGUUAAACAUAUUGUCAUUAGUAGAAUCAUUCAUCUCAUUCAGAUCAUUACGCGCUCACUAAUUUUCAUCGUAUCUUAAUGAAAGAUAUGGCAUUGAGUAGUUUUAAAUUCAUUUUUGAAGGUUGAAGCACUGGACUUGCCAUAAAAUGCCGACACCUAAUAUUGUGUCAGUAAGAAUCAAAUUAUACGUAGUAAGUGCCAUUCGGAAGUAGGAUCAGAGAACCCUGUUGGAAAGUCUGGUUGUUGAAGUGGCCAGAUGUACAAGAUCUACUCACUUCAGAACUAAAGAUGCCGAUGCCAGAGAGUUGAGGUUUGUGUUUUUCGUAAAUUUACAGACUGAUCGGACUAAAAUAACCAUGUCAUAAAUUCUAUGCACCAAAAGUAGGAAAAUGGAUCCUCGUGUGCCACAUAACUACUACCUAAACGAGUCAUUUAAAAAUUUAAAGUGGACUCUCUUUCACUUGUUGCACAGAGUCACAGACACAUGUAUAAACACUCGUAAUGCUUGACAAGUUUUUAGCACCAUUUGCAAUAGUUUAUAAACAUUGUUCUUGCUCACCUUUGAUGCUUACAUAUAUUUCAUUGACCUGGUUUUCCACUGAUAGAGAUGUAAGUCGGAUUCUAAAGCAAAUCAGUGAUCACAUCUGAUAAUAAUAAUCACCACA